UGUUCUGUGGCUCAGUAGUUCACCGCCACACUAGCUAUACGGAGUCGUGGGUUCAAAUCCCACCAAAACAA
rnacentral:tRNA from 1 species